rnacentral:rRNA from 1 species
CUGGCGGCACUAGCGCGGUGGUCCCACCUGACCCCAUGCCGAACUCAGAAGUGAAACGCCGUAGUGCCGAUGGGAUUUUGGGGACUCCCCAUGUGAGAGUAGGGAACUGCCAGGC